rnacentral:rRNA from 1 species
AUGAUUGGCGGGGCGGGGCGGCAGCGGCAGCGGCAUGACGGUGCGGUGGCGCGGCCGCGACGCAGGUUUGAAGUCGCUGGUGGCGAGGAGGAGGGAGGGGAGGCCACCACGGCGAGCGCGGGGUGCAUGUGCCGGUCGUGCGCGGCGGUGGCGGUGGCGGACUGCGUCGCGCUGGCGUGCUGCCCCUGCGCGGUGGUCAGCCUGCUCGGCCUCGCGCUCGUCAGGGCGCCCCUUGCCGUCGGCAGGCUGUUGAUCAGGGCCAGGCGGAGGCGGCGCGCGCUGCUGCGCGGCAAGCGGGUGCGCUACGUGGCCGCCCCCGCCGCCCCGGCGCCGAGCGACAACGGCGGCAUCCACGACAAGGUCGCCGAGAAGGUGGAAGGCAUCCGCGGCGGCGUGGAUACGACGUCAACGACGGCGGACGGCGAGCUGGGAGGCGUCGAUGAUCACGAGGCGGAGCUGGCGUGGCUGGAGGAGAUGUACCGGACGGGGCGCUGGGGCUUCGGCCGCGUCUCCUUCUCGGCCAAAACCCCGUGA